rnacentral:lncRNA from 1 species
GGCACUGGGAGUAGAGACAAAAAUGAAACUAUUUCUGCCAUUCAAGAGCUUGCGUUCCAUCAAAGGACUCGGUACAUGUUUGUGGAAAAUGAAUUGAUGAUGAUGAAAAGUGCGCUGAAAGAUGCGGAUUGUGAUCAAGAAGUGAAAGAAAGCAGUGAAAGAACAGACUGAUUUCAGAAAAGCCUGAAAGAUUUACAUGAACUGAUGCUGAGUGAAGUGAGCAGAACCAGGAAAAUGUUAUAUAUAGUAUCAACAAGAUUAUGCGAUGAUCAACUGUGAUGGACUUGGCUCUUUUCAACUGUGAGAUGAUUCAAGGCAAUUCUAAUAGACUUGUGAUGGAAAGUGCCAUCCGCAUCCAGAGAGAGAAUUGU